UAUUCAUUUAUUUCAGACAACUCGUGUGUAAAUGCAUGGACACGAUGAAUAUUAAAGACAAAUCUGUAGAUAUUUUGGAACAUUUGCCUUAUCAGAAUCGGUUGUGAAUUUGUUGAUUUUAAGACCAGAUCCAAUCAUCCCAGUUAUUAGACUUUUAAGAAUUAAAUAUAAUUAUUAAAAAUAACGCAUUUAUUGUUCCAAGGACAAAGAGGGAUUUCAACAGAAAAAAAGAAUGGACCAAAGAGCAGAAUUGCCGGAAAGCUCUCGCUCGGAACAACUUAGUUUAAGUUAGCAGAAAGAAAAUAGACAUACAGACAUACAUACAUCUAAAACAGAUAUCUUACAAUUAAUACUUUUAAAUGUUACAACAAAGACUUCAAAUGCGCAACAGAAAUCAAAAAUAAGACCAACGAAAAAAAAUUAUAGAAGAAAAAAUAUCAUUCAUCAAUUUGGAAUGUCCCAAUUCCAAUUGAACAGAAUCAGUAUUAUAAGUAGGGAGAGGGGGACACGUGGGGACGUAAUGUGGAUUUCUCAUUAUUUUACUACCCCGCCGUGUACAAAUGUAUUACUAUGCAAUACAUUGUCAUUUGGUACCAAAAACAAAAAAACACCACAAAACGCACCCACUCACGAAGGACACUAACCGAACUAACCUGUAAUUCAUUCUCAGCAGAUAUUCACGGUCGAAGGUGGUUGGGAACACAGUUUAGAACAGAAAAGAGCCAGUCAACAACUUGGAGUCUUGAGGAAUUUUGCUAUCACCACCUUUGACCACAUAAAUCUUAAGACAUUGUGAUGAUAUUUAAAAAAAUUAUUAUAACAAAUUAUAUUUAUUGUAUAAUAUUAAGUUAUUAAUAUUAGUCAAUUUGAAUGUAUA
rnacentral:sRNA from 1 species